rnacentral:rRNA from 1 species
AACGAACGCUGGCGGCAUGCCUAACACAUGCAAGUCGAACGUGAUCCGUUCCUUCGGGGGCGGUGAAAGUGGCAGACGGGUGAGUAACGCGUGGGAACCUGCCCAAUGGUAGGGAAUAACCGCGGGAAACUGCGGCUAAUACCCUAUGAGCCCUUUGGGGCAAAGAUUUAUCGCCAUUGGAGGGGCCCGCGUCGGAUUAGGUAGUUGGUAGGGUAACGGCCUACCAAGCCAUCGAUCCGUAGCUGGUCUGAGAGGAUGAUCAGCCACACUGGGACUGAGAUACGGCCCAGACUCCUACGGGAGGCAGCAGUGGGGAAUAUUGGACAAUGGGGGAACCCUGAUCCAGCAAUGCCGCGUGAGUGAAGAAGGCC